rnacentral:tRNA from 1 species
ACUGACUCCAUAUCAGUCGAUC